AGACCAUGGUGGGGGCAUCUUCUUUGAAGACCUUUGAAUCCCUCCCAAACUUCAUAUGACGACUUGCCUUCAUGUGGAAUAAAACCUAUGAUAUUCGUAUGAAGUUU